UACGUAGGGUGCGAGCGUUGUCCGGAAUUAUUGGGCGUAAAGAGCUCGUAGGCGGUUUGUUGCGUCGGCCGUGAAAACCUGCAGCUUAACUGUGGGCGUGCGGGCGAUACGGGCAGACUGGAGUACUGCAGGGGAGACUGGAAUUCCUGGUGUAGCGGUGGAAUGCGCAGAUAUCAGGAGGAACACCGGUGGCGAAGGCGGCAUCCUGGACCGACACUGACGCUGAGGAGCGAAAGCCAGGGGAGCAAACGGG
rnacentral:rRNA from 1 species